rnacentral:rRNA from 1 species
GAAUCAACGCUGGCGGCGUGCCUCAGACAUGCAAGUCGAACGAUUAAAGCUCUCUUCGGAGAGUGUAUAGAGUGGCGCACGGGUGAGUAACACGUAAGUAAUCUACCUUUGAGUUGGGAAUAACAGUCGGAAACGGCUGCUAAUACCGCAUAACGCAGCGGCACCGCAAGGUGACAGUUGUUAAAGGNGCAAUCCGCUUAAAGAGGAGCUUGCGGCAGAUUAGCUUGUUGGUAAGGUAACGGCUUACCAAGGCUACGAUCUGUAUCCGGUCUAAGAGGACGGUCGGACACACUGACACU